CUCAAAAACCUUUGUAGUCUAAAUUAGAUUUAAACACAGUCAUCUGAAUAGCUAGAUACUGUUAGAGGAAGAAAUAUGGAACAAAUACUAAAUGUAUAUAUAUGUAUAUAUAAAUAUUUUCCAUUUGAAAUGGGUUACUUGUUAGGUAAACUAAAUAGUUGAAAUGUAACUUUAAUUUUGAUUGAGCUCUAGAUCUGUGCAGGUGAGCAGCCAAUCGAGCGUAAUUAGGUCAAGCUGACUCCGCCCACCGAGAGAUGCGGCAUUAGAGAGAGAGAGAAAAAAACUUGAGAAACAACGUGAAUUAGAAGCUGCGUAAGAUCUUGAUUUAUUUCAUUUGAGAGAGAACGCAUGUGAAAACCAAACAUUUGGAGUAGGCCAUCAUUGCGUCAUCCGAGAGAAACCUGGAAAAAAAACAGAGAAAUAUCAUUAAUACACGAGGGAAUCGGCCAGUUUUGUUAUUUUAGAAAUCUAGAAUCUGGAUUUUUUUCAAUUCAUGAAGAUGGCGAGCCAACCGUAAAUCGAUCAGAAACAACUAUCCUUUGUCUUUUUGGACAUCUGUAUCACUUCACUUUCGGCAGGACAUCGCGUCGGAUUUUUUUCUUUUGAGGUUUGAAACAUCUGACAUUUUCAUUUUUCCUUUUGAGCAUUGGAUCACUGAUUUAAAGGAACUGAGGAGACAAUAUCAUUCUUUAUUGUUCAGACUGACAUUUUGUUUGAACUGUGCAUUCAAGAAUUACUGAUACUGCAUUGAUACGCAUUCAUUUAGACUUUGUUUCGUAUAAACAAGUGUUUACAGUGGACAUUUGUACGUGUGACUAAACACAAGUCCUGACAUUCGUGUUUAUUUUAUAUUUACUGAUCUUGAGUAUACAUUUGAGUUGUGUACAUAAAAAAGGAGAUCAGAAAUUGAAUGUUUAUUACAAUUUAAUUUGCAUUGGAGAGAAGAAUUUUCUAUGUCAAGGGUUAAAUUUCAAAUUCAUUUAGCUUAAUUGGUAAAAAGUAAUAUUUAAAGCAGAUUUAAUAUUUCUUUUUUUGGUUUUAUUUUUUUUUGUUUGUUCUUGUUAUUUUUGCCCUUUAUGCAGUGUCAUUGAUAUUUUUUUUUCCCAACCAGUGUAUCCUAUCAAUCGCGCUUACAAGUAAAUUUUAUCCAAUAUAAAGGUGCGCAUUUACAUCUAUGUGUGUGUGUGUGUCUUGCCUCUUACGAGUUUCAGUCUCUUCUGAUUUGGUCCUGAUUUGCGAAUUACAGUUUACCUACAAUAACUGUUAAACCUUAGUGAGUUAUUGUUUUCCCUAAUAUAUGAGUUAACCCCUCUGUUUCAUUUUACAAGACAAGGGUUACACUCAUUUGUGGCGAGCCAGC